rnacentral:lncRNA from 1 species
AUCUAAACCUAUUAGGGGCUUACCUUUAAGUUACUUAUUUUGUCAAACACGUUUCCAAAAUUACUUGUUUGACUAGCAGAAGUGGUAAUUUCUAAAAAAGUAAUUUUUAAGCACAACUAAAUAUUCUUUUCAAUGAUCACUGACAUUGUACUUGUUUCUGCUAAUGAACAAAGGAGGAUAGCGAGGAAUGGAGUCCAAUGCGUAGGGCGUAUGGAACGGUAUUCGACAUUUCAAAUCCACCCAUCGGAUCUCUUCGCGUUAGAAUUUAUUUUCAAAUCCACCCAUCGGAUCUCUUCACGUUAGAAUUAACUAUGCCAUCCCGUAUGAAGUUAAUUUGGUACAAUUAACCCGUGCCAUUCCUACGGAUUGGAAGGCUGGAGUUGCAUAUGACACUGCAUCUCAACUUAAUUAAGCUCCAAACUACCCGUUCCACCUACUUUUUACCUAUAUAUAUGUAUAGUAUAAAAAAAGGUUGAACCCCAACCUUGAGGGCUCUCACCGCCCCGUCCCCAGAGCUUUGUGAGAUAUAUAUGUAAAGUAUGUAUAUGUGCGUGUGUGUGUGUGUGUGUAACAAGUUAAAAAUAAAUAAGUGGAACUUGUGUUCAGUUGUGAUAUAAAUAAAUUUUCUGUAAUAUUUAGUUAUUUAUGCUACCCUGGUACAAACUUAGGCCCCGUUUGAUAUACAUUAAUGUAAAAAUGAGAAUGAAAAAUAUAGCCGUAUGGGCCCUACACAAGAGAUGGAACGUCAAAUAUGGUGGUUUGAUGUGAUGGAUAACUAUCAUAUUUUUUAUUUUAAUGGGUAAAUAAUGGGAAACAAACAGGGGCUUAAUAUUUUUUAGUUAAGUUUAUGGGACAUUGAUCCCGGUUUAUUAAUGGGUUUUAAGAGUCAAGUUUGUUGCAUGUAAGAACCUCUUCAAUAGUCUUUUUUAUUUAAUUAUAGAAGCAUCUCGUAUAUAAUAGAAAAUAUUUUGAAAUUUCAACAGUAAGACUUUCGAUACACUCAAACAAGCUCUUUAUUUUACUUUUUCAAAAUAUAUUUAUUUUUCCCCCACAUUUUCAAUUAACAUAUAUUUUUAUAGAUGUCAAUUGCCAAUAAAUUCAAAGAGAAUUUGAAUAAUCCAAGAAAUGAAUAAUCGAAAUUUGCAAUUUAUUAAAUGCAAUGUGAACUUUGGAUUCAUAAUGCUUAUGACAUAACGUGGGUCUUUAUGGCUGAAGCGAUGGAGGACAAUGCUCAAACUUUAUGUAAAUGGCGAUUCUACUUAUGGAGUCAUGUGAGAAAUGAUUAAAAUGGUGAUUGAGUGCAAACUUACUUUUACCCACAUAAGAUAGCAUACGGGGUCAUAGACCUAUUGGUGCCUAGGACACGACAUUGUGAUGUGAUAGAACUUGACCAAUAAGCUAUUGGAUGAAGUCAUGCGUCAAGCAUCCAGGAAGCCUUCAUUCAUUUCUCUCAUUUAUAAAUAUUCAAACUUCCCUCUCACAAAAUACGAAUCCGAAUCUAAAUUAUAUUCUCUCCUCUACAUGUCGUUUCCAUACCUAAUACACUUUAAUCUCAUUAUUCUGACUGACUUGAGCAUCAAAGUACGUAUGAUCGUGACCUCUCAUAUCCCUUUGUGUUUUGAGAGUAUUCUUGCAUGUCUGCAUGCGCUUCAAGUGCCCAUGUAACAUACGCUUGGAGAGAAGUAGAGGCAGGAUCUGUUGAUGCCAACAUUUAUGUUUGAAAGGUUUCAAUGCAAGUGUUUUAGUGAAAUUUGAAAUUAAUAUAUUAAUUUUUUCACUUGUUUGAAAGCUAUUAUUUUUGUGUCGCUAAAUCAAUGAUUUGAAACCAAAUCAAACCACAAAAUAUGAUUUGGUUUGAUUUUGCUGACCUCAAAAUUUGGCCUGAUAAUAGAAUUCAGGCCAUAUCCUUUUCCAUAUAGGCAUGACAUGCACAUUGGAAAAGAACCAUUAAGGUGUAAAGGAGCCGUCCUAAAAAAAAAACUUGACAACCUUUUCAAUUCGACGGUCAAAUCAACUAUCAAAACAAGUCAUGGAAUGAGUGCAAGAGAAAUGUGUAAGAUGGGAUUUGGCAAAUGUUUAGAUGAACAUGCCUUCAAGUCCAGAUGCGCGCACACAGAGAGAGAGGGGAGAGAGAGAGAGAGAGAGAGAGAGGGCCAAAUGGGUUAGGGAUCGGGCUCAAGCCCGAGAAAAGGUUACUUAGGUUUACUCGGCUGUAUCCAAUUAACAUUGUUGAGGCCUAGUCAACUAAUGUUAACCUCUCUUUGUCACGUGCAUGUCAUGUAAUUUAUUGAUAUGCCAAUAGUUUACCAUAUCUGAGGUGUACAUUUAGGUGUGGGUCAAAAAUGCGAGUUAUCUUCAAUUAGACGAUGACUUACCAAUUGCCUUAUGAAUAUGAGUAGAUCCCAAAUAAGUGAGGAUUUACGAAUUGCCUCUAAUAUACGAGCCCAUCCCUAACAAGUAUGAGCUUACGAAUGGUCUUAGAAAUAUAGUCGACUUCAAAUUGAUGAGGGCUUAUAAAUUACCUUGAAUACAUUCCAAGAUGCAACAAAAUUUCGACAACAUCUAUUUGUAAUGUGGACUAAACCAACCUGAAAUACAACACAAUAUCUUCACUGCACAUAUACAAAAUAAAUAGGGCCCUGUCUACUUCUUCAAAUUCUCAUGACGAAAAGUGAAAUAAUAACAGAUCAAACUUUUUUAAACUGUAAUAUGUGGAGAGCCCA